rnacentral:rRNA from 1 species
AUUGAACGCUGGCGGCAUGCCUUACACAUGCAAGUCGAACGGUAACAGGUCUUCGGAUGCUGACGAGUGGCGAACGGGUGAGUAAUACAUCGGAACGUGCCCGAUCGUGGGGGAUAACGGAGCGAAAGCUUUGCUAAUACCGCAUACGAUCUACGGAUGAAAGCAGGGGACCGCAAGGCCUUGCGCGGACGGAGCGGCCGAUGGCAGAUUAGGUAGUUGGUGGGAUAAAAGCUUACCAAGCCGACGAUCUGUAGCUGGUCUGAGAGGACGACCAGCCACACUGGGACUGAGACACGGCCCAGACUCCUACGGGAGGCAGCAGUGGGGAAUUUUGGACAAUGGGCGCAAGCCUGAUCCAGCCAUGCCGCGUGCAGGAUGAAGGCCUUCGGGUUGUAAACUGCUUUUGUACGGAACGAAACGGCUCUUUCUAAUAAAGAGGGCUAAUGACGGUACCGUAAGAAUAAGCACCGGCUAACUACGUGCCAGCAGCCGCCGUAA